rnacentral:rRNA from 1 species
GAUGAACGCUGGCGGCGUGCCCAAUACAUGCAAGUCGAACGGCAGCACGGGUGCUUGCACCUGGUGGCGAGUGGCGAACGGGUGAGUAAUAUAUCGGAACGUACCUUAUUGUGGGGGAUAACGCAGCGAAAGCUGUGCUAAUACCGCAUAAUCCCUAAGGGGGAAAGCGGGGGACCGUAAGGCCUCGCGCAAUUAGAGCGGCCGAUACCUGAUUAGCUAGUUGGUGAGGUAAAGGCUCACCAAGGCAACGAUCAGUAGCUGGUCUGAGAGGACGAUCAGCCACACUGGGACUGAGACACGGCCCAGACUCCUACGGGAGGCAGCAGUGGGGAAUUUUGGACAAUGGGGGCAACCCUGAUCCAGCAAUGCCGCGUGAGUGAAGAAGGCCUUCGGGUUGUAAAGCUCUUUUGUCAGGGAAGAAACAGCAGCUCUAACACAGUUUGCGAAUGACGGUACCUGAAGAAUAAGCAACGGCUAACUACGUGCCAGCCGCCGCGGUAA